rnacentral:rRNA from 1 species
AACGAGUGCCCCAAGCGUUAUCCGGAAUUACUGGGCAUAAAGGGUGCGUAGGCGGUCUUAUUAGUCGUGUGUUAAAACUCCUGGCCUAACCAGGAAGGUGCAUGCGAAACGGUAAGACUAGAGAGAGUGAGAGGUUAGCAGAACUCAUGGUGUAGGGGUGAAAUCCGUUGAUAUCAUGGGGAAUACCGAAGGCGAAGGCAGCUAACUGGCGCUUAUUCUGACGCUCGAGCACGAAAGCGUGGGUAUCGAACGGG